rnacentral:lncRNA from 1 species
UGGAGUGGUGAUCUAAAUGGUUCUAAGAUUCAACUGGCUUUUGACAAUGCUAACAAUAUAGCUAUGACUUUAGAUUCCUGUUAUUUCUCCUUGAAUCAAGAAUAAGUACGUGCAAGAUGAGGAAUACCAAAGUUGCCCUACUCAUAAAUGUUGAUCAGUGAAGCUGUGUCACCCAAGGCUGAUAUAAUUUCAUGAACAAGUUCUUUCUAGGGAAUAGACUCUUUCUUUUUAGGAGAACCGGAAUUCUCAAAGGAUGCUUCAACUAUUUGAUUUGGCCCCAGAACUUCUCUAUUGGCUUAUGAACAUCUUCGAUUGUUUAUUUCAUUUUGCAGGUCGGGUUGGACCAAGAUGAGACAUAGUGUCCCUGAGCUGUUGAUGUGGCUUAAGGUUUCAAGAAGUUUUCUGCUUUAUCAUGAUCAACCAUGCAGCGCUUGUCUCAUGGUUCUUUUACUGCUUGAUUGAUGUAUGUUGGAAUGUUAUUUUAAGUAUACUGUUCUUUUUUAUUAAUAUAAUUGCGUUUUGCAAUGUUUGGGUCUUGAUAUCUAUAUUGAAUGUGAUGGAAUUUGAAUGUUUUCGGUUUCUAGUCCUCCAGAGGUUUUAUGAUAGCGAGUAUGAACAAACCCUUUUAACCACCAACCUGAUUAUGUGUCUAAAACUUUUUGGGUCAAGGAUGGCAAUAAUGUUGUGUUAAACCGAACUUUCCACAAUGAUAUUUUAGUUCAUCCCCCCUCUUGUCUGUGUUAUAUCUAGAUUCUAUAGACAAGUUACAUGCAACAUACUUUGAUGUGGUCAACCAUAGGCUCCCUUUUAUUUUAUCAUAUUUAAUCAUAUGGUGGGGCACAUUAUACCCAAAACAAAUGCAGGUAUUCAAUUGAAAUCAUUUGGAGCAUUGAGAUACAGUUUUGCAAGGUUGAAUUUCUCUUGUGUUAAUGAAGGUAUGCAGUCAGAUUCUGAUGCUCUGCGGUUCAGAGCAUAUCUGUUUUUAAUCCAUAUAGUUACUUUUGAGAGUAAUGGGAGUUGCUUUCUUUUGCCAUUUUUUUCCUAUCAUCAUCUGGCUUCUUAUGCUGCCUGCAUUUUUUCCCAUUUUUUCUUUCCUCCUUUUUUUCCCUUUUCCCGAGAAAUUGUCAUGGUUAGGUAAAGCUUCUCAAUAAGGUUGAGUGAACCUGGAUGUUGCUGCAGUGAGUUGCAUCGUGUUGCAUUUGAGCACAUUGGCUGAGUUACAGUCUUUACUUAAGUAGAUGGUGAAAAGCAAAUGUUGAUUUCAACAGGUAAAUUCUCCAUGAGACUGCUGGGUUGUUCCUCAAUUUUUGCAGGAUCCCAAAUAAAAUUUGUUUGUAUAGUUGCCACAGUGUUAACUUAAUCUUGUGCUUCAUUUAGUUUUUAGUUGUCCUUGCUCAAAUCAAUAUUUCCAUGUUUCCCUCACCACAGUUAUGUACAGGCUGGCUGAUUUUCAGUGUCAUUUUAUGGAUUAUGUUCAGUUUUCCAUGUGUUGAUUUUAUACUGUCACGGAACAAGGAUUUUGGUUUUGAAAGAUGAACUUGUUGGCUGUUGCAUUGAAAGGUUGAGGAGAACUUUCUGCUUUUGCCUUUCUUUAAAAAGACACGAUUGAAUGUGUUUGGUGGUUAUGAAUCUCACCCAUAAAGCUUUUCUCUUUUUUCCUUUUUUUUCCUUUCCUCUUCCCCCUUCUUCUGCAUAGGUUGGAAAGAGCCUCUUUAUCUGCGUAAGGAAGACUGCAGUCACCAAUGAAGCCUGCAAGUGUAUGCCGUGCUAUGUUGCUAUUACCAUAAAAUAGAUCUAUCUGUUCAUGGUCUCCAUAGUCUGUAGUUUGGCGCAGGAAAAGUACACACUUUUAUAAGUUAUCAUGUACAAAUAGAAUUAUACUACUGUGUAUCCGAAGGAUGGUAAAAUAAUUAUUCAAGUACAAUUGGUGCAAAAAAUAAGAAAAAAUGGCGAGUGUUCCCAUUUAGUGGGGUCUAGGGAUGGUAGAUGUACGCAGCCCUAUCAUACGACACAUUAUACCUU